rnacentral:rRNA from 1 species
AGAGUUUGAUCCUGGCUCAGAUUGAACGCUGGCGGCAUGCCUUACACAUGCAAGUCGAACGGUAACAGGUCUUUCGGGAUGCUGACGAGUGGCGAACGGGUGAGUAAUACAUCGGAACGUGCCUAGUAGUGGGGGAUAACUACUCGAAAGAGUGGCUAAUACCGCAUGAGAUCUAUGGAUGAAAGCAGGGGACCUUCGGGCCUUGUGCUACUAGAGCGGCCGAUGGCAGAUUAGGUAGUUGGUGGGAUAAAAGCUUACCAAGCCUGCGAUCUGUAGCUGGUCUGAGAGGACGAUCAGCCACACUGGGACUGAGACACGGCCCAGACUCCUACGGGAGGCAGCAGUGGGGAAUUUUGGACAAUGGGGGAAACCCUGAUCCAGCAAUGCCGCGUGCAGGAUGAAGGCCUUCGGGUUGUAAACUGCUUUUGUACGGAACGAAAAGU